UGGUAAAUGUCUGGUACGCCGGGGUGAUGCUUUUGCUAACUGCUAGAUAAACCACAGCAACACGAAAAUGACAGACUACGCCGAAGAACAAAGAAAUGAACUCGAAGCAAUUGAGUCUAUCUAUCCAGACUCCUUUACAGUAUUUUCAGAGGACCCUAUCAGCUUCACUAUCACUGUCACGUCAGACGCAGGGGAAAAUGGUGAAACGGUAGAAGCAACUUUAAAGUUCACUUAUGUAGAAAAAUACCCAGAUGAGCCACCACUGUGGGAGGUCCACUCCCAGGAAAACCUUGAAAACAGUGAUAUGAAGGACAUUCUCACACUGUUGCACCAACAGGCAGAAGAAAAUCUGGGAAUGGUGAUGAUUUUUACCCUUGUGACAGCUGUGCAGGAGAAACUCAAUGAAAUUGUUGACCUGAUAAAGAACAGACGAGAAGAGGAAAAACUGCGGAAAGAGAGAGAGGCUGAGGAAGCAGAGAAGGUGGCGUUUCAAGGCACAGUGGUAACAAUUGAGAACUUCUUGGCGUGGAAAGCUAAGUUCGAACUGGAAGUGGCUGAGAUGCGGAGGAAAAAAGAGAAGGAAGAGGAGCAAUCAGGCAAAGCAAAACUCACUGGCAAACAGCUGUUUGAGAGGGACCACAAUCUGGACACCUCAGACAUUCAGUUCCUUGAAGAUGUUGGAAACAAUGUUGAGGUGGAUGAAUCAUUGUUCCAGGACAUCGAGGACUUGGAUUUGGAAGUUUUAUGCCAGAUGACCUUCCUGACGCAACCCGCUGCAGUUAUUCGGGCUUGGGACCAGCCUACAGGUUGCGCAGGAAUUGUGCUGAGGGUUGACGAGAAGCCGAAGGAAGUAAAGGAAUCUCUGAGAGCUGGAGCCAAUCUCAGCAAACUUCGGGGAGCGGCAGACUACACCCCGAACUGGUCGCCAGACAGUUGCAGUGCAGAUGUCGACACCAUCCCUAAGCGGGAAUCGAUCCCAAGCUGCCUUCACUCAAAAUGUCCCUCUGAGGGAAACCCGAACUACAACGUGGCCCGCAAGAGAAAUGAGUUUGACCAAAAAAACUUUACAGGGACAUAUGUUAAGGUGGGAAGUCUCAACAAAACAUGGUGUCAUGAUAUCCAUCUGCAAACUGCCCCACUGCUCCCAUGCAGCGAUAUGUGGUGGUGGUGUGUUGCAGAGGAUAUACAAUUGGCCGCAUCCAUCUUUGGACCUCCCCUUGGGUUCUCCCGAAGGCAAAGGUCCUCUUGGAAAGAUGGAGAUCUGACAUACAUUGAUGCAAAUGGCAUCCCAACUGCAUACCAGAUGAGUAUAAAUUGGUUAACGAGAUUGCUGCAGGAUGGGAAUCCAUCUUGUUAUGGAUAACUCUGAAUAAAAACGUUGACAGAAUCAACUACAUGUAUUACAAUGUACAGAAACUAGGUAAUUAUAUGGAAGCAGGCUUUAUUGCCACAAGGGAACAACCAGCUGCAACCUCACUCAUGGCAUUCAAGAACCCCAUAGCGGUUGACAUGCUCCUGGCCGAGAAGGGUGGCAUCUGCGCAAUGUUCUGUGACCAGUAUUGUUUAUUCCAAAUAUCAGAGCACCUGAUGGAUCACUCACAAGGGCCAUUCAAGGCCUCCGCACCCUGAACCACAAGAUGAAGGAGCACUUUGGUGUAAACACAUCAGCCUGGUCUGAGUGGUGAGGAAAAAAAAACGAAAAACUUUGGCAAUCCUAAAGAUUUGGUGUUCUCUGUCCUAGUUUCUAUAGCUGUUUGGAGCUAUUCUUGCAUUGUGUGGAUGUUGUUGUAUUCCCUGCAUAAAGGCAUCACUUAACUAACGUGUAACCACUGCUAUUGCAAAUUCAAAAUUGGCAGAAAUAUAUCCACUAUUGGCACAACAGGGUAAUGACAUUGAUAUUGUUGACCACGAUGAUGACGUUACGAGUUCUCUCCCACACCUGUUCUCUGAUCCAGAAGAUAACAAGUAAUUAGUACUAUAUUUUCCUCCAAGUGUAAGCCGAAAGGGUGAUCUAUUCGAUGAUUUAAGGAUUUGAGCAAAUGUAGGAUAAACAGGCGGUUAGUGUAGAAAUAAUUCUAAAUAGUAUUAAGUAACUGCUUCUGACUGCAAUGAAGAAAUACUUUGCUUUGCUCCAAUUCAGUUACUGCUCUGCCUGUAAUGAAGAAAUGCCUUGCUCUGCUCCAAUUCAGUUACUGUUUCUGCCUGCAAUGAAGAAAUGCUUUGCUCUGCUCCAAUUCAGUUACUGUCUCUGCCUGCAAUGAAGAAUGCUUUGCUCUGCUCUAGAAAACGUGGUAGCAAAUGUAGGAUAAACAGGGGGGAAAUGUAGGAAUAAUUGUGAUCAUUAUUAUCAUACAUCUGCUUUCAAUAAAGAAAUGCUUUGCUCUGCUCUAAAUAACAUGACAGCCUCCUAGCAGGAGAUAGCAAGAACAAAAACGUCUAAUCAUAAGAACUGUUAGAACUGCUGCCUGUUAAAGAAAUGAUGACCACAUAUGUAUUCAGCAAUCUUCCACACAUGCACAUGCACAUGAACAAACAUUUACACCUUGUUUCCAAUUGAUUUGCUUGCCGUCUCCUUUUUGUAACAUCCAUGUAAAUAAGGGGUGUCUUAAAACUAAAAAAAUAGAGGUGCUGAGAAGAGGAUAAUCAGAGAGUACCGUGGUGAAUUUUACGAGACAGUUUCUCUCCUCUCUCCUCACGAGACUUGAACUGGUGUCUUUGCUUUCUUUUUUGUCCUGUUUAAUGAACGUCUGAUUGGUGAACCUGACAAACACCCUGCUAUAUUGCAAGUUGUCCCACGUAGAAAUCAUUGAGGGGUCUGAAAUUUUCGUCAUAGGUGCAUGUCCUCUGUGAGAGGGAUAAUGUAAAAAGAAAAAUCUAGAAAUCACAAUGUAUGAUUUUUUUAACGAUUUGUGUGAUAUAGCUGCAAAUAAGUAUUUCAACACCUGUCUAUCAGCUAGAAUUCUGACCCUCAAAGACCUGUUAGUCCACCUUUAAAAGUCCACCUUCACUCCAUAUAUUAUCCUGAAUCAGAUGCACCUGUGUGAGGUUGUUAGCUGCAUCAAGACACCUGUCCACCCCAUACAAUCAAUAAGACUCAAACUUGUAACAUGGCUAAGAAAAAAAGAGCUGUCCAGACACCAGAGACAAAAUUGUACAACUCCACAUGGCUGGAAAGCACUACAGAGAAACUGCCAAGCAGCUUGGUGGAGAAAGGUCCACUGUUGGAGCAAUUAUUAGAAAAUGGAAGAACCUAAACAUGAUUGUCAAUCUCAAUCGGAGUGGAGCCCUAUGCAACAUAUUACACCGUGAGGUCUCAGUGAUCCUUAGAAAGGUGAAGAAUUAGCCCAGGACUACAUGACAGGACUUGGUCAAUGACCUGAAAAGAGCUGGGACCACCGUUUCCAAGGUGAUUUUCAUGGCGGGAGAUACAAAAAUCCAUAUACAACAACAUCAUGACGUGUGAUGAAAAUAUGGAUGGCUGCCUUUUUUUUUUUCUCAUCAAAAACAUAAAACAAAAAAAUCAUGCUUUAUGUGUCGGUGGCACUAUAAAUAGUGGGGGGCGCCCCCCCUAUGCCAGGAGGGCCACGUGUGACUUUUUUUUUUUUUUUUUGCUGUACUAGAAUCUAUGCGGGCAGUAUUAGCUCUUUAUUUUUUUUUAUUUUUAUGCACCGAGCAGGCGAUCUGAAGUCUUGUAAAAGAACCCUUACACAUUUUUUUUUUAACAGGAAUGAAAAGAAACGCGGAGAGACACGAAGACAGUACAACAAAAGAAAAUCACCUGAAAGCUAGAGUUCUGGAGUUCAAGAUGCGGAUCUGUUAAAGCAAACAAAAAUGACUCCAGCAAACCAUUGUGAGAAUGUAUCCACGAAUGAAGAAAACAUGGACCAGUGGUGAACCUUUCCAGGAGUGGCUGGCCUACUACAGUUAAGACUCCUCCAGGAGGUCACAAAGGAACCCAGCACCACAUCUGAAUAAACUCCAGGUGUUUCCUCAGUCAGGUCAGUGUUCAUGAGUCAACAAUAAUGUAGAGACUCAACAAAAAUGGUAUCCAUGGAAGAUGUCUAAGGCGAAAACUACUUACUUAGUGUUGGCCAAAAAGAACAUAAAUGCUCAUUUUACCUUACUCCUAAACAUCUGAAUGGUUCAAGACUCGUGGCAAAAUAUUUUAUGGACUGAUGAGAAGAAAGUUGAACAUUUUGGAAGGUGAGUGUCCUGUUACAGUUGUCAUAAAUGUAACGCAGCAUUUAUUUAAAAAAAACAUACCAACAGUCAAAAAUGGUAAAUGGUGUUGGUGUAAUGGUUUGGGGCUGCUUUUAUUCCUUCAUUACCUGGAACCUGGCUGAAAAAAAAAAACAAAGUAAGGAGUGACCGACUCAAAGGCUGGACUGCAAUCCAACUGAAAUGGUCUGCCAUGACCUAAAUAAGCCAAUUUAUGCUUUAAAAAAAAAAAAAAAAUCACUAGCGCUGCUGAAUUCUAACACUUCAGCAAGGAAGAGUGGGCCAAAAUAUUUCCAGAGAUGUGCAAGAUUGCCAGUUAGAGAAAAUGCACUUUAAUAACCUAAUAAUCAUUUCACUUUUUGCUUCUAAGGGUGGCCUGACCCUAUUCAGUAAUUAAGGUUUUGGGGGACAUUACUUUUUACACAAAGCCAGGUGGCUCUCAGUUUUUCUGACCCUUGGAACAUCUAAUAAUUUAAAAAGCUGUAUUGCUAAUUCUUACUGUGGUUAUCUUUGUUGUUUGAUGAUCUUCAACAUGUAAAUACAGUUUGUCAGAAAUUUAUAUUCCUUUAUGUCUCCUAAAUCCUAAUGGAAAAACCUGCAUAUUCAUCAUACCUCUUGAACCAGGAAGUAUCCCAAUAACAAAUUAACAGACAAAACCAUAACUAUACCCACCGAUUUUUUUUUCUUUUGUAAAUCAUUUGGCCUUGGUAGAUAUCUCUGCUUUACUGAACAACAACCAAAUUAUACAUUAUAGAAUUGCGAAAACAAAUCAAAUGGUGGCCUGUGACUUUCACAGUGCAUCGUAUGUACAGUAC